CUUUCUUUGCUGGCGACCGGCGCAUGGGUGAGUAACACGUAUCCAACCUGCCCUUUACUCGGGGAUAGCCUUUCGAAAGAAAGAUUAAUACCCGAUAGCAUAAUGAUUCCGCAUGGUUUCAUUAUUAAAGGAUUCCGGUAAAGGAUGGGGAUGCGUUCCAUUAGGUUGUUGGUGGGGUAACGGCCCACCAAGCCUUCGAUGGAUAGGGGUUCUGAGAGGAAGGUCCCCCACAUUGGAACUGAGACACGGUCCAA
rnacentral:rRNA from 1 species